rnacentral:rRNA from 1 species
UACGUAGGGGGCAAGCGUUGUCCGGAUUUAUUGGGCGUAAAGCGCUCGCAGGUGGUUUGUCGCGUCGUGCGUGAAAGACCCCGGCUCAACUGGGGAGGGUCGUGCGAUACGGGCGAACUGGAGGCCAGUAGGGGGAUGCGGAAUUCCGGGUGUAGUGGUGAAAUGCGUAGAUAUCGGGAGGAACACCAGUGGCGAAGGCGACUACCUGGCCUGUUCUUGACGCUGAGGCGCGAAAGCUAGGGGAGCAAACGGG